rnacentral:rRNA from 1 species
GACCGAUAGUGAACCAGUACCGUGAGGGAAAGGCGAAAAGAACCCCGGCGAGGGGAGUGAAAAAGAACCUGAAACCGUGUACGUACAAGCAGUGGGAGCACCCUUUGGGGUGUGACUGCGUACCUUUUGUAUAAUGGGUCAGCGACUUAUAUUCUGUAGCAAGGUUAACCGAAUAGGGGAGCCGUAGGGAAACCGAGUCUUAACCGGGCGUUAAGUUGCAGGGUAUAGACCCGAAACCCGGUGAUCUAGCCAUGGGCAGGUUGAAGGUUGGGUAACACUAACUGGAGGACCGAACCGACUAAUGUUGAAAAAUUAGCGGAUGACCUGUGGCUGGGGGUGAAAGGCCAAUCAAACCGGGAGAUAGCUGGUUCUCCCCGAAAGCUAUUUAGGUAGCGCCUCGUGAAUUCAUCUCCGGGGGUAGAGCACUGUUUCGGCUAGGGGGCCAUCCCGGCUUACCAACCCGAUGCAAACUGCGAAUACCGGAGAAUGUUAUCACGGGAGACACACGGCGGGUGCUAACGUCCGUCGUGAAGAGGGAAACAACCCAGACCGCCAGCUAAGGUCCCAAAGUCAUGGUUAAGUGGGAAACGAUGUGGGAAGGCCCAGACAGCCAGGAUGUUGGCUUAGAAGCAGCCAUCAUUUAAAGAAAGCGUAAUAGCUCACUGGUCGAGUCGGCCUGCGCGGAAGAUGUAACGGGGCUAAACCAU